rnacentral:rRNA from 1 species
UACGAAGGGGGCGAGCGUUGUUCGGAAUCACUGGGCGUAAAGGGCGCGUAGGCGGCCCUCCUUGUCGCGUGUGAAAGCCCCGGGCUCAACCUGGGAACGGCGCGCGAGACGGGGGGGCUGGAGUUCGGGAGAGGAGCGUGGAAUUCCCAGUGUAGAGGUGAAAUUCGUAGAUAUGGGGAGGAACACCGGUGGCGAAGGCGGCCACCUGGACGGAUACUGACGCUGAGGUGCGAAAGCGUGGGGAGCAAACAGG